GGAAGGAUCAUUAACAGUGCUCUUUGUAUGCAAAUACAUUCACUAAACAACCAUGUGUGAACCGUUUUGACUGACCAAUGUGUGCGGGUACUCUGUCAAAAGGGUACGGCUGCCACAUUAUUUUUAUUUAACAACCCCCGUCGUAAAAUUAUGUACUGAAUAGUAAAGCUUGGUUGAAAAACUUGCAAAACUUUUAGCAAUGGAUCUCUAGGCUCUUGCAACGAUGAAGAACGCAGCGAAUUGCGAAAUGUAAUGUGAAUUGCAGAAUUCGUGAAUCAUCAAAUCUUUGAACGCACAUUGCACUGUCCUCGAGGCAGUAUGUCUGUUUGAGUAUCUGUACCCCAUUAUCAGAGCUUCGUGCUUUGGAGUUGAACAGCUGCACUUUUUAACGGAAGGGCACUGUUUGAAAUGAAGUUGCGCUUAGUGAGGAGGUGAUGCUCCUCCGAGGCACAAGUGAGUGUACUACACAGGUCUGGUCGGCAGUGGUAGCGCAUCAGUCAUGGUUACGACUUUUGACUUGGUGUCUGCACCCUGCAUUCAAACGGCCUUUUCUGUGCACACUUGCGCACAAUUUUAAGAUCUCAAAUUAGACAAGAUUACCCGCUGAACUUAAGCAUAUCAAUAAGCGGAGGAAAAGAAACUAACUAGGAUUCCCUUAGUAACGGCGAGCGAAGUGGGAAUAGCUCAAAUUUAAAAUCUCCUCGGAGAAUUGUAGUUUGUAGAGGUGUUUUCGACCUGGGCGCUGGACUUAAAUCCUCUGGAACGAGGUAUCAUUGAGGGUGAUAAUCCCGUAAAUGGUCCAGAGUGCUCAGGCGUUUGAUACACUUUCAAAGAGUCGGGUUGUUUGAGAAUGCAGCCCAAAUCGGGUGGUAUAUUCCAUCUAAAGCUAAAUACUGGCAAGAGACCGAUAGCGAACAAGUACCGUGAGGGAAAGAUGAAAAGAACUUUGAAAGAGAGUUAAACAGUACGUGAAAUUGCUAAAAGGGAAACGUUUGGAAUUAGUGUUGCUGCUGGCAAAUCAAUCAUCUGGGUGAUUCCGGGUGGUGCACUUUGUCAGUGGCAGGUCAACAUCAGUUUGCUGCAAGGUAAAAUAGCCGGACAAGGUAGCUGCUUGCAGUGUUAUAGGCCCGGUAAAUGCCUUGCGGUCAGACUGAGGAAUGCAUCUUUAGGAUGUUGACAAAAUGGUUCCAAAUGACCCGUCUUGAAACACGGACCAAGGAGUCUAACAUGUAUGCGAGUAUUUGGGUGUGGAAACCCAGAUGCGUAAUGAAAGUGAAGUAGGUGGGAUCCCGCAAGGGUGCACCAUCGACCGAUCUUGAAGUUUACUGAUAGAUUUGAGUAAGAGCAUAUCUGUUGGGACCCGAAAGAUGGUGAACUAUGCCUGAAUAGGGUGAAGCCAGAGGAAACUCUGGUGGAGGCUCGUAGCGGUUCUAACGUGCAAAUUGAUCGUCAAAUUUGGGUAUAGGGGCGAAAGACUAAUCGAACCAUCUGGUAGCUGGUUCCCUC
rnacentral:misc_RNA from 1 species